rnacentral:rRNA from 1 species
CCUACGGGAGGCAGCAGUGAGGAAUAUUGGUCAAUGGCCGAGAGGCUGAACCAGCCAAGUCGCGUGAGGGAAUACGGCCCUACGGGUUGUAAACCUCUUUUGUCGGGGAGCAAAGAGAGUCACGUGUGACUCAUUGAGAGUACCCGAAGAAAAAGCAUCGGCUAACUCCGUGCCAGCAGCCGCGGUAAUACGGAGGAUGCGAGCGUUAUCCGGAUUUAUUGGGUUUAAAGGGUGCGUAGGUUGUUUUUUAAGUCAGCGGGGAAAGUUUGUGGCUUAACCAUAAAAUUGCCGUUGAAACUGGAAGACUUGAGUGUGUUUGAGGUAGGCGGAAUGCGUGGUGUAGCGGUGAAAUGCAUAGAUAUCACGCAGAACUCCGAUUGCGAAGGCAGCAUGCCGGCUCCACACUGACGCUGAGGCACGAAAGCGUGGGUAUCGAACAGGAUUAGAUACCCCUGUAGUC